GGGGAUGAUCGGUUUCGACGACGGUAGUGGAUUCAGUAGAAGCGGGUCGAGGAUGAGCAGUCAUCUCGUUAACGCUCUGUUUCAAACCAAUAGGUGCCAAUAACAACCGCACCGACUUCGCCCUGGCCGCCUGAGCCAGUCGCCAAGUCCGUCAGCCCGGGUUUGCUUUCGCCCCGGUCACUGGCGUCAUUUAGAGAGCCACUGCUUUAAUUCCUUGUCGAUGGGAAUUAAGGGACUUUUAGUCGACUGAGCCUGUUCCAAGCGUCCUAGUUUGCGUGAGACGCUGAGGCCGAGAAACUCUUUAGCAAACUGCACCCGGAGAAGUCCUGUUGCAUUGCUGUCGGACCGGGGUUCGAUUCCCCGCAUCUCCACCU
rfam:Actinomyces graevenitzii C83 genomic scaffold supercont1.1, whole genome shotgun sequence.